rnacentral:rRNA from 1 species
UACGGGGGGGGGCAAGCGUUGUUCGGAAUUACUGGGCGUAAAGGGCUCGUAGGCGGCCCACUAAGUCCGACGUGAAAUCCCCCAGGCUUAACUUGGGAACUGCGUCGGAUACUGGUGGGCUUGAAUCCGGGAGAGGGAUGCGGAAUUCCAGGUGUAGCGGUGAAAUGCGUAGAUAUCUGGAGGAACACCGGUGGCGAAGGCGGCAUCCUGGACCGGCAUUGACGCUGAGUGAGCGAAAGCCAGGGGAGCAAAACGGGG